rnacentral:lncRNA from 1 species
GCAACACCAAAACUUGUCAUGAGGUUUGUCACUUACGGAACAUUUGUCUAAGGUCAAGAGCUAAGAGUUAGCAAUGCUGAACUACAGUCCUCACAUAUCAGCAAAUCCACGAUUUUUCUUCUUUCCUGUUAUUUACUGCAUUUAAAUCUUGAAAAUCCUAGUAGUGGUGGGGUGGAGGGGGUGAACUUACUAUAAAGUUCAUUCAAGAUUGAGUGCAGAAAUGAAGCACAGUGUUUGUGC